rnacentral:tRNA from 1 species
UUAAUUGAAGCCAAAGAGAGGGAGAGGCGCCUUAAUGUUAAUAAGAAGAAUGAUUUUAAUCCAAUUAAA